rnacentral:misc_RNA from 1 species
UCCCCGUUACCGGGGCAGUCUAAGUAGAAAAAUCCAACUACUUACAAGGGUUGCGCUCGUUGAAGGACUUAACCUAACAUCUCACGACACGAGCUGACGACGGCCAUGCAUCACCUGUCACUGAGUUCCGGCUCUCAAUACACAAUAUAAAUUAAUUAUUAUGUACUCAGAGCCGGCACUCACUUCUUUCGAAGUAAUUCUCAGGAUGUCAAAUCUUGGUAAGGUUCUUCGCUUAACAUCGAAUUAAACAACACGCUCCACCGCUUGUGCGGGUCCCCGUCAAUUCCUUUGAGUUUUAAUCUUGCGACCGUACUCCCCAGGCGGGAUGCUUAACGCGUUAGCUUCGCUACUGAACGGGUCGAUACGUCCAACAGCUAGCAUCCAUAGUUUACGGCGUGGA